UACGUAGGUGGCAAGCGUUGUCCGGAUUUACUGGGCGUAAAGAGCGCGCAGGCGGUCAGAUAAGUCGAAUGUGAAAGCCCCCGGCUUAACUGGGGAGGGUCAUUCGAUACUGUUCGACUCGAAGGCAGGAGAGGGAAGUGGAAUUCCCGGUGUAGUGGUGAAAUGCGUAGAUAUCGGGAGGAACACCAGUGGCGAAGGCGACUUCCUGGCCUGUUCUUGACGCUGAGGCGCGAAAGCUAGGGGAGCAAACGGG
rnacentral:rRNA from 1 species